GAUGAACGCUAGCGGCAGGCCUAAUACAUGCAAGUCGGACGGGAUUGAGGAGCUUGCUCUUCAUGAGAGUGGCGCACGGGUGCGUAACACGUAUGUAAUCUACCUUGUUCAGGGGGAUAGCCUCUCGAAAGAGAGAUUAAGACCGCAUAACAUAUUGAAGUGGCAUCACUUUAUUAUCAAAUAUUUAUAGGAACAAGAUGGGCAUGCGGAACAUUAGCUAGUUGGUGAGGUAACGGCUCACAAAGGCGACGAUGUUUAGGGGAUCUGAGAGGAUGGCCCCCCACACUGGUACUAAGACACGGACCAGACUCCUACGGGAGGCAGCAGUAAGGAAUAUUGGUCAAUGGACGGAAGUCUGAACCAGCCAUGCCGCGUGCAGGAAGACGGCCCUAUGGGUUGUAAACUGCUUUUGCAGGGGAAUAAACCUCUCUACGUGUAGAGAGCUGAAUGUACUCUGAGAAUAAGGAUCGGCUAACUCCGUGCCAGCCGCCGCAGUAA
rnacentral:rRNA from 1 species